AGCAUUUCUCCAGUUUGUCAAGACCAUUUUGAAUUCUGAUCCUGCCCUCAAAAGCACUGCUACCCUUCCACCUUGGAAUCAUCCACAAACUUUGUUCACUGCAAAAAUUCCAGCUGUCUGUAGCAUUCAUUAUCCCCAUUUUACAAAGUGAGAAACUGAGCCUCAGAGAGGAGAGCUGGCUUGAUUCAAAUUGUAUUGCAGCAGCAGCAUUCAGGGGGCUUCAGAGCAUGCCUUUCUUGGGGGACGAAGGCGAGGAACGGAUUUGGAGUCCCAAUGGUGGCUCAUUCGCGGGCUCAGCUGGACGAAAAUGCUGCUUCGAAAGAGCUGCUGACUCCUCACUUCUCAAAAAGAGAGAGCUCUUGCUGAGAAAAUCCUUCUGAACACUUGUAGCCUAAAAGCCCAGCGGAAUCUCUGGGCUGAGCGGGUUUUGAGGCAUAUCUGACCUCUGCUCCUCUUCUCUGCCUUCAUCUGCAGAUGGAGAGGGAUCGAUGGCAGCUGUGAGGGGCUUUGUAACUUCCACCCCGACGGGGAGGGCAUGGGAGGGGCAAAGGAACCUGUCAGGGUCCAGUAAGACUCGACUCUCACCUGAACCCUGAGAAACUUUUCCUGGGUUCAGAAACAUUCAGACCAUGUAUUAUUUUUUCCCAAGCCGACGAUGCUCUCUGCACUCUGGGUUCCACAGGUGAGUGGGAAGGCCAGGGUGCCAUGGGGAAUGCCGCCCAUGGGUUAUGCUUGGCCUGGCUUUGCAGAAUUCUAGAAGUAAGAGCUGGACCAUCCAGCCUGUCUCCCAAGGGCCAGUGCGGGAUUGCUCCCUGCUGCACAUUUCCUACAGGCCAGGGAAGGUUUGGAUGGAAAGCAAGACACACCAGAAACCAGGUUUAAAGCCCAGCUUUACAGGUCCAAGAGAUCUCAAUAAGUAAUAGAGCUUUAACGUACUGCUCCAAGCCUCACCCAUCUCCAGGGGGAAGACAUCAACAACAUGCAGGGCUUUGAAUAGCAUUUUCAUUUUCACGCCAGAGCAGACUGCUCCUUCCA